rnacentral:rRNA from 1 species
GACGAACGCUGGCGGCGUGCUUAACACAUGCAAGUCGAACGGAAAGGCCCUGCUUUUGUGGGGUGCUCGAGUGGCGAACGGGUGAGUAACACGUGAGUAACCUGCCCUUGACUUUGGGAUAACUUCAGGAAACUGGGGCUAAUACCGGAUAGGAGCUCCUGCUGCAUGGUGGGGGUUGGAAAGUUUCGGCGGGUGGGGAUGGACUCGCGGCUUAUCAGCUUGGUGGUGGGGUAGUGGCUUACCAAGGCUUUGACGGGUAGCCGGCCUGAGAGGGUGACCGGGCACAUUGGGACUGAGGUACGGCCUAGACUCCUACGGGAGGCAGCAGUGGGGAAUAUUGCACAAUGGGCGGAAGCCUGAUGCAGCAACGCCGCGUGCGGGAUGACGGCCUUCGGGUUGUAAACCGCUUUCGCCUGUGACGAAGCGUGAGUGACGGUAAUGGGUAAAGAAGCACCGGCUAACUACGUGCCAGCAGCCGCAGUAA